rnacentral:rRNA from 1 species
UACGGAGGGUGCAAGCGUUAUCCGGAUUUACUGGGUUUAAAGGGUGCGUAGGUGGGCAGUUAAGUCAGUGGUGAAAUCUCCGAGCUUAACUCGGAAACUGCCAUUGAUACUAUCUGUCUUGAAUAUCCUGGAGGUGAGCGGAAUAUGUCAUGUAGCGGUGAAAUGCUUAGAUAUGACAUAGAACACCAAUUGCGAAGGCAGCUCACUACGGGAUUAUUGACACUGAGGCACGAAAGCGUGGGGAGCAAACAGG